CAGUCGAGCGAAUGGAUUAAGAGCUUGCUCUUAUGAAGUUAGCGGCGGACGGGUGAGUAACACGUGGGUAACCUGCCCAUAAGACUGGGAUAACUCCGGGAAACCGGGGCUAAUACCGGAUAACAUUUUGAACCGCAUGGUUCGAAAUUGAAAGGCGGCUUCGGCUGUCACUUAUGGAUGGACCCGCGUCGCAUUAGCUAGUUGGUGAGGUAACGGCUCACCAAGGCAACGAUGCGUAGCCGACCUGAGAGGGUGAUCGGCCACACUGGGACUGAGACACGGCCCAGACUCCUACGGGAGGCAGCAGUAGGGAAUCUUCCGCAAUGGACGAAAGUCUGACGGAGCAACGCCGCGUGAGUGAUGAAGGCUUUCGGGUCGUAAAACUCUGUUGUUAGGGAAGAACAAGUGCUAGUUGAAUAAGCUGGCACCUUGACGGUACCUAACCAGAAAGCCACGGCUAACUACGUGCCAGCAGCCGCGGUAAUACGUAGGUGGCAAGCGUUAUCCGGAAUUAUUGGGCGUAAAGCGCGCGCAGGUGGUUUCUUAAGUCUGAUGUGAAAGCCCACGGCUCAACCGUGGAGGGUCAUUGGAAACUGGGAGACUUGAGUGCAGAAGAGGAAAGUGGAAUUCCAUGUGUAGCGGUGAAAUGCGUAGAGAUAUGGAGGAACACCAGUGGCGAAGGCGACUUUCUGGUCUGUAACUGACACUGAGGCGCGAAAGCGUGGGGAGCAAACAGGAUUAGAUACCCUGGUAGUCCACGCCGUAAACGAUGAGUGCUAAGUGUUAGAGGGUUUCCGCCCUUUAGUGCUGAAGUUAACGCAUUAAGCACUCCGCCUGGGGAGUACGGCCGCAAGGCUGAAACUCAAAGGAAUUGACGGGGGCCCGCACAAGCGGUGGAGCAUGUGGUUUAAUUUGAAGCAACGCGAAGAACCUUACCAGGUCUUGACAUCCUUUGACAACCCUAGAGAUAGGGCUUUUCCUUCGGGAGCAGAGUGACAGGUGGUGCAUGGUUGUCGUCAGCUCGUGUCGUGAGAUGUUGGGUUAAGUCCCGCAACGAGCGCAACCCUUGAUUUUAGUUGCCAUCAUUAAGUUGGGCACUUUAAGGUGACUGCCGGUGACAAACCGGAGGAAGGUGGGGAUGACGUCAAAUCAUCAUGCCCCUUAUGACCUGG
rnacentral:rRNA from 1 species